GACGAACGCUGGCGGCGUGCUUAACACAUGCAAGUCGAACGGAAAGGCCCUGCUUUUGUGGGGUGCUCGAGUGGCGAACGGGUGAGUAACACGUGAGUAACCUGCCCUUGACUUUGGGAUAACUUCAGGAAACUGGGGCUAAUACCGGAUAGGAGCUCCUGCUGCAUGGUGGGGGUUGGAAAGUUUCGGCGGUUGGGGAUGGACUCGCGGCUUAUCAGCUUGUUGGUGGGGUAGUGGCUUACCAAGGCUUUGACGGGUAGCCGGCCUGAGAGGGUGACCGGCCACAUUGGGACUGAGAUACGGCCCAGACUCCUACGGUAGGCAGCAGUGGGGAAUAUUGCACAAUGGGCGGAAGCCUGAUGCAGCAACGCCGCAUGCGGGAUGACGGCCUUCGGGUUGUAAACCGCUUUCGCCUGUGACGAAGCGUGAGUGACGGUAAUGGGUAAAGAAGCACCGGCUAACUACGUG
rnacentral:rRNA from 1 species